CGAACGGGUGAGUAACACGUGAGUAAUCUGCCUCUAGCUCUGGGAUAGCUCCGGGAAACCGGGAUUAAUACCGGAUAUGACCACUUCGGACAUCUGUUGUGGUGGAAAGUUUUUCGGCUGGAGAUGAGCUCGCGGCCUAUCAGCUUGUUGGUGGGGUAAUGGCCUACCAAGGCGACGACGGGUAGCCGGCCUGAGAGGGCGACCGGCCACACUGGGACUGAGACACGGCCCAG
rnacentral:rRNA from 1 species